rnacentral:rRNA from 1 species
GACGAACGUGGGCGGCGUGCCUAAUACAUGCAAGUAGAACGCUGAAGGAGGAGCUUGCUUCUCUGGAUGAGUUGCGAACGGGUGAGUAACGCGUAGGUAACCUGCCUGGUAGCGGGGGAUAACUAUUGGAAACGAUAGCUAAUACCGCAUAAGAGUAGAUGUUGCAUGACAUUUGCUUAAAAGGUGCAAUUGCAUCACUACCAGAUGGACCUGCGUUGUAUUAGCUAGUUGGUGGGGUAACGGCUCACCAAGGCGACGAUACAUAGCCGACCUGAGAGGGUGAUCGGCCACACUGGGACUGAGACACGGCCCAGACUCCUACGGGAGGCAGCAGUAGGGAAUCUUCGGCAAUGGACGGAAGUCUGACCGAGCAACGCCGCGUGAGUGAAGAAGGUUUUCGGAUCGUAAAGCUCUGUUGUAAGAGAAGAACGAGUGUGAGAGUGGAAAGUUCACACUGUGACGGUAUCUUACCAGAAAGGGACGGCUAACUACGUGCCAGCAGCCGCGGUAAUACGUAGGUGGCAAGCGUUAUCCGGAUUUAUUGGGCGUAAAGAGAGUGCAGGCGGUUUUCUAAGUCUGAUGUGAAAGCCUUCGGCUUAACCGGAGAAGUGCAUCGGAAACUGGAUAACUUGAGUGCAGAAGAGGGUAGUGGAACUCCAUGUGUAGCGGUGGAAUGCGUAGAUAUAUGGAAGAACACCAGUGGCGAAGGCGGCUACCUGGUCUGCAACUGACGCUGAGACUCGAAAGCAUGGGUAGCGAACAGG